rnacentral:rRNA from 1 species
CCUACGGGAGGCAGCAGUGGGGAAUAUUGGGCAAUGGAGGAAACUCUGACCCAGCAACGCCGCGUGAAGGAUGAAGGUUUUCGGAUUUUAAACUUCUGUUGCGAGGGAUGAAGAAUGACGGUACCAUGUGAGGAAGCCCCGGCAAACUACGUGACAGCAGCCGCGGUAAUACGUAGGAGCCACGCGUUGACCGGAUGGACUGGGCGUAAAGGGAGUGUAGGCGGCCUUUUAAGUUAUAUGUGAAAGCCCGCGGCUCAACCGAGGAACUGCAUAUGAAACUGGAGGGCUGGAGUGCAGGAGAGGUAGGCGGAAUUUGUGGUGUAGCGGUGGAAUGCGUAGAUAUUAGGAAGAACACCGGAGGCGAAGGCAGCUUACUGGACUGUAACUGACGCUGAGGCUCGAAAGCGUGGGGAGCAAACAGGAUUAGAUACCCGUGUAGUC